rnacentral:rRNA from 1 species
CCUGGCUCAGGACGAACGCUGGCGGCGUGCUUAACACAUGCAAGUCGAGCGGUAAGGCCUUUCGGGGUACACGAGCGGCGAACGGGUGAGUAACACGUGGGUGACCUGCCCUCCACUCUGGGAUAAGCCUGGGAAACUGGGUCUAAUACCGGAUAUGACCACGGAUCGCAUGGUGUGUGGUGGAAAGUUUUUUCGGUGGGGGAUGGGCCCGCGGCCUAUCAGCUUGUUGGUGGGGUGAUGGCCUACCAAGGCGACGACGGGUAGCCGGCCUGAGAGGGCGACCGGCCACACUGGGACUGAGACACGGCCCAGACUCCUACGGGAGGCAGCAGUGGGGAAUAUUGCGCAAUGGGCGGAAGCCUGACGCAGCGACGCCGCGUGGGGGAUGACGGCCUUCGGGUUGUAAACCUCUUUCGCCAGGGACGAAGCGUGAGUGACGGUACCUGGAUAAGAAGCACCGGCCAACUACGUGCCAGCAGCCGCGGUAACACGUAGGGUGCGAGCGUUGUCCGGAAUUAUUGGGCGUAAAGAGCUCGUAGGCGGUCUGUCGCGUCGGUCGUGAAAACCUGCAGCUUAACUGUGGGCUUGCGGUCGAUACGGGCAUGACUGGAGUUCGGCAGGGGAGACUGGAAUUCCUGGUGUAGCGGUGAAAUGCGCAGAUAUCAGGAGGAACACCGGUGGCGAAGGCGGGUCUCUGGGCCGAUACUGACGCUGAGGAGCGAAAGCGUGGGGAGCGAACAGGAUUAGAUACCCUGGUAGUCCACGCCGUAAACGUUGGGCGCUAGGUGUGGGGGCCAUUCCACGGUCUCUGUGCCGCAGCUAACGCAUUAAGCGCCCCGCCUGGGGAGUACGGCCGCAAGGCU